rnacentral:sRNA from 1 species
UCAUUGCACACACAUGGAUAUGUUGCAGUAAACCCGGGCCUCCGGGCUCGGGAUGUCGGAUUGCGAAGUACCACAAUGUCCCUCUUUUACAUAAUGGUCCCGGCCUGCGUGUGUGCGGACGCCUUCUUUCUUCGGGGGGUUCCUUCCUUUUCUUCGGAGGAGGAGGGGAUCCGCGCGAGCUCGAAGAAAGGGGGGGGCCCGCACACAACACAACACCCGGGCGUAACCACGCCAUGCCCGAACGCUUUGACCCACGACUGAGUCCCUUAAACGCUUUGAGGAGGAGUUGGAUUGUUUUUUUGGCGACGCGAGGAAGGAAGGACUUCCUUCCUUCCUCGCGUCGAUGGAGACCCCACCGCCCCGGAGUUAGUUGAAUUUUCUAUAACUUAGAAACAACUCUCAGCGACGGAUAUCUUGGCUCUUGCAACGAUGAAGAACGCAGCGAAAUGCGAUACGUAGUGUGAAUUGCAGAAUUCCGCGAAUCAUCGAGUCUUUGGACGCAAGUUGCGCCCGAGGCUUGUCCGAGGGCAUUUCCGCUAGAGCGUCACCGCGCUCCCCCACCGACCUCGCACAGUUGCGAGGUGGAGUGGAACUGGCCGUCCCGAUGCGAUGUGUGCCUAGGAAUGGGUACAACAAGCGGGUCGGCUGAAAUGGAUGGAAUUCGGCCGUCGCGGCGACGGAGCCCGCGAUCAGGUGAUCCGAGCGCAAGCCCGGAACUCAAACGUGCGCGGCUUCGUCGCCCAGUUGGAUCGAGUUGGAAAGCAGGUCCGCGCGUCCCGAGAGGGCGCGCUAAUGGAUUAAUGGAGAAGGGAUCAGGUCACGACAUCAGA